AGUGAACGCUGGCGGUAGGCCUAACACAUGCAAGUCGAACGGCAGCACAGUAAGAGCUUGCUCUUACGGGUGGCGAGUGGCGGACGGGUGAGGAAUACAUCGGAAUCUACUUUUUCGUGGGGGAUAACGUAGGGAAACUUACGCUAAUACCGCAUACGACCUACGGGUGAAAGCAGGGGAUCUUCGGACCUUGCGCGAUUGAAUGAGCCGAUGUCGGAUUAGCUAGUUGGCGGGGUAAAGGCCCACCAAGGCGACGAUCCGUAGCUGGUCUGAGAGGAUGAUCAGCCACACUGGAACUGAGACACGGUCCAGACUCCUACGGGAGGCAGCAGUGGGGAAUAUUGGAAAAUGGGGCCAAGCCUGAUCCCGCCAUACCGGGUGGGUGAAGAAGGCCUUCGGGUUGUAAAGCCCUUUUUUUGGGAAAAAAAAGCGGCAGGUUAAUACCCCGCUGUUCGGACGGUACCAAAAAAAUAAGCACCGGCGAACUUCGU
rnacentral:rRNA from 1 species